UGGGGAAUUUUGGACAAUGGGGGAAACCCUGAUCCAGCCAUCCCGCGUGUGCGAUGAAGGCCUUCGGGUUGUAAAGCACUUUUGGCAGGAAAGAAACGUCGCGGGUUAAUACCCCGCGAAACUGACGGUACCUGCAGAAUAAGCACCGGCUAACUACGUGCCAGCAGCCGCGGUAAUACGUAGGGUGCAAGCGUUAAUCGGAAUUACUGGGCGUAAAGCGUGCGCAGGCGGUUCGGAAAGAAAGAUGUGAAAUCCCAGAGCUUAACUUUGGAACUGCAUUUUUAACUACCGGGCUAGAGUGUGUCAGAGGGAGGUGGAAUUCCGCGUGUAGCAGUGAAAUGCGUAGAUAUGCGGAGGAACACCGAUGGCGAAGGCAGCCUCCUGGGAUAACACUGACGCUCAUGCACGAAAGCGUGGGGAGCAAACAGGAUUAGAUACCCUGGUAGUCCACGCCCUAAACGAUGUCAGCUAGCUGUUGGGGCCUUCGGGCCUUGGUAGCGCAGCUAACGCGUGAAGUUGACCGCCUGGGGAGUACGGUCGCAAGAUU
rnacentral:rRNA from 1 species